rnacentral:rRNA from 1 species
UACGUAGGGUGCAAGCGUUAAUCGGAAUUACUGGGCGUAAAGCGUGCGCAGGCGGUUGUGUAAGACAGAUGUGAAAUCCCCGGGCUUAACCUGGGAACUGCAUUGGUGACUGGCGGGCUAGAGUAUGGCAGAGGGGGGUAGAAUUCCACGUGUAGCAGUGAAAUGCGUAGAGAUGUGGAGGAAUACCGAUGGCGAAGGCAGCCCCCUGGGCCAAUACUGACGCUCAUGCACGAAAGCGUGGGGAGCAAACAGG